rnacentral:sRNA from 1 species
GUAUUUUGGCGCGGUUUCCCGGCUCUGCGGGCCCAGGGCUCCGGAUGAGGUCUCCCGCCGUCCCGACCCCCGCAAGGGGCCAGCUUGGUGUCGCCUUCGUCCUUCUGCCACCCCGUUUGGAAGGUGCUCGGGUCUUCGGGGCACUAGGUCCCAUCGGUCCCUCCUCACCUGGGCUCACCCUCGGGGGUCUGGCCGUGAGCGAGCACCGGCUCAGCAACAAGCUGCUGGCAUGGAGCGGCGUCCUUGAGUGGCAGGAGAAGCGCAGACCCUACUCUGACUCCACUGCAAAGCUGAAGCGGACCCUGCCCUGCCAAGCCUACGUGAACCAAGGCGAGAACCUGGAGACCGACCAGUGGCCGCAGAAGCUGAUCAUGCAGCUGAUCCCGCAGCAGCUGCUGACCACCCUGGGCCCCCUGUUCCGGAACUCCCAGUUGGCACAGUUCCACUUCACCAACAGAGACUGCGACUCGCUCAAGGGGCUCUGCCGCAUCAUGGGCAACGGCUUCGUGAGUGGGGCGGGCUCGGGUGUGUGAGGGGUGCGGGGGGCGGCUCCCUUGUAGCACUGUGGUGACAAGUACAGCUGGAGGCAGCGCUCUGCUCACACAGCCCAGGCUGGGGCCGGGGGUCUCCCCUGGGGUCGAAGGUAGCCCUCGUGGCCUCUCGGACCCCAUCUGGAAAUGACUGACCCCAGGCACCCUCCGUAGAGCACAGGGUGAAGGAACUCAGCCUGAGAGGCCUCCAGUUUCUGCAUCUGUGCCCAGCUUCGAGGUGGCUCUGGGGGAGUGAGUGCACAGAGGGACUGGGGCCAGCCCUGUUGGGGCCCAGGAGCCUGUCGCGGACACAUAGCGUAUGGCAGGGACCUGGUAAAUGGGUGUGCUAGGCACGAGAGCCAGCCAGGAGGGAGUGGCACAUUGGGGCUUGGUAUUCUGGUUUGUAAAAUGUGCUAACCUCCCCGAGUGGCCUGAGCUGGCCAUGAGGGAGCGGAGCUGAGGGUGCUGAAGCAGGCGCGGUGAGUAGGUCCUCAGGCCUGGCUCCAAGGGGACCCAGGUAUCCAGCCGGUGGCUGUGCAGGGACUGAGUGGGGCAGGCACGGCCACGACCU